rnacentral:tmRNA from 1 species
GGGGAUGAUUAGGAUUCGACUGGAAGAGUGAAGUCAAAACAGCAUGUAGAGGUGUGGGUGGCCUCUUAAAAAACUCACAAAAAGAUAAUCGCAAACGAUGAAUCUUACGCUUUAGCUGCUUAAUAAACAGUGACAAGCAAACCUGUAGUCAGAGCCUAAAAAACUUCUGGACUACCCGGAGCCUGGAUUUGACAAUAGGUUCAGAACCUCCGGAUCCCAAUAUUGUAUCGGGUGAAUCCUCGACUGAAGGAGUAGCCUUAAAUCUAUUCAGUCUGGUUAGCUGGUAGCGUGUCGGUCCGCGAUUAGUUAAUGAGAAAAAAAGAUUUGACUAAACAUGUAGACGUUGAGAUCUAGCCUUUUGGGACGCGGGUUCAAAUCCCGCCAUCUCCACCA